CAGAAUUUUUCAUUUCCUGAAUCAAGCACCCUCUUCCACUACCAAAAAGGCAAACAGUGAUACGGCAAACUAUAACAAAUACAAUUAAAAAACACAAUUUAAAUUCUUACAAGACAAAAAUGGAAUUCGAAACAGCAUAAUCAACCAUCAUCAAUGUUUAGACAAAGGACCUGUAAUGGCUUUUCCAAUUAAAAAAAAAAAUCAACACCUAGACUAAUACAUUGGAACUAUUGAAUAUUUUAAUGGGGCCUUCUCACAAUCAACUAGCCCCUUGUAUGCGGCACAUACACUAAAAUUAAUGCCUCUAAAAUCUGUAUCUCUUCCAUGCUUCAAGAGUUGAUAAUUUGCGGACCAUGCACGUACAACUGCCCGCCAAACUGCAAGCAGAACACUGGUAUUUUUUAUCAGUAAAUGAAGUGCUUUCCAAACACAGAGUAAUUUCACUUAGUCAUCUUUCGAGGCACUUGAAUAUUCAGUCCCAUUUUCUGUGUUUGUUACCCCAGAUGAAGCAGUUGACAUAUCACUAGUGGUGCCAUUUCCAUUCCGGUAAGUCUUUGCCGCUAAUGCUGGGUUUCUCUGAGGAACAUUAGUAGCAGGAAUCUGCCCUUCCUCAGCUAGUCUUUUGAUAAGGUUCAUAACCGUAGGAAGUAACUUCGUAGACAAAGAAAUAAGCCCAGGAAGCUGUAAAAAAAGACUCACAAAAUCAAGCUUGCAGAUAAAGUAACUAACUUUAGUGCAGCAAAUUCAUAAAAAAUUUUGAGUAGCUAUAAAGUAAAUGCCAGUGAAAAUGACUCUAUACGGUCUAAUUUGGAUAUUAGUUUCAAAACCAAUGAAGUCUGCAAUAUAAAGAUGACUCACUGCUCCAUUGCUAAAUUCACCAGAAAUGUCUAGUUGCACCCAUAAGGCUUUUACCAAUAAAAAAGCUACAAAGAUGAAACCCAGGUACAAGGGAUUUCUGCCAUGAAAAUUAGAAAAUAUAUAAAUAAAAGGCGUUAGAACAUAAGGGAUCUCAUCUUUCCAUUAACACAAUUAAUUUCACAACUCUAUCAUAAAGAUUUACCUCAGAAGUGUCAUAAAUUCAUUAAAUCCCAGCACAAUCAGGGCAACAAUCGCCCAUGGGGGUGGUAACCAGUUGUUGUUACGUUUGUUGGCUUCCUAAAAAUUGAAAGAAGAAAUGAUGAAGAUAUUAAAUUUUCAAGUCCUGCUAAGGCCAUAGAACAAAUAUAGCACAUAAAGCACUCAUUGCAGCAUCACUCUAUCAGGAUAUGAAAAUUAUGCCCAUUAUAUAUACCUGUAAUUAUACCUAUAGUCUUGCAUUAGAUUAAGAAAUUAAGAAGAUUGAACGAUGCCUAAUUGGUGCCCAUGUAUAUAUUAUUUCCUGUAGGGUAUAGGGAAUAAUCAAGCUCGUUAUUCCAAACUUCUCUUAAUCUCUUCUCCUUUCAUUUUCUUCAGCCCAUGCGUGUGCAAUACUUGACUAUAAGAUAUCCAAAGCCUAGGAUUAAUUCUUGCCAGUUUUUUUGCUCAGAAGCAAACUACCACCUUAUAUCACCUUUAACUGUUUAUAACUCCUAUCCAAUCAUCAUUAGAUGUUCAACUUCAAUGGUUUAUGUUUGCUCAAUAUUUCUAACCAAACACAGAGACCAGUAAACCUAUCCUUUAUUCUUUAGCAGGGCGUGUUCCAGCCAGAGCUAGUAAACAUCAAGCACUUCUGUAUAAAAAGUAGUGUUAUAAUAUUCUCCAAUUCCUAUCCAACUUCAAAGAGAAAUGUGCUGGAUAUGUAAAAUGAGUUAUAGUUGAAAGAAUCAUGCCUGAGCAGAAAUGGCUUGAGUGACACUGUACUCUGUCUCUGUCUUGAAUUGCCUCCACAAAGAUUUGCACUGGACAGGUGUGAUCAAUGUCCUUGAUGAUGGAAUCUGUAGUAGAAGACAGUUACAAAUGUUGAUUAGUGACCCAAGGCAAAGCAAAAGGCACUCAGAAAGUAGUGCACUCAAGAGAGACGAGGAGAAAUAUUAAACAAUCAUGAAGGCCUUUAUGCCAGUAUGUAGCCCAAAAUAUCCAUCAAGCAAUGCCUACAUUAAUUUAUCUAAGUGAAUUGCACUGAAACUUGUCAAAUAAAUCUGGACAUCUGACAUAAAGUAACAACCAGCAUGGACAUAUUGACAUGAUAUGCAUGUUUGGAGCCGUAGACCCAUUCUUUGUAUCAUUAAAAGUAUUCAUUUUAACAAGCUACACACCAUAAUCAAGGAGUACAUACUACAUAGGUAAAUAAAUUUGGCAAUCAAAGUAGAAAAGUAGAAUGGAGAAAAAUACAAGACCCAACACCCUUAUAUUGGAAAAGCCAGACUUAGUGGUCUUUAGUUGUCCUGGUUAAUCUAAUUCAUUAAAAUAUGACCAGAAAAAUUAGCAGUUAACAGCAUUCAAAUGAUAUACUAGAAAAAAAAAAUCUAAAAUCUUUGCAACACAAGAUGUUUUGUCAUCUUGAAAGUCUUUUUUUCCAGUCAAUUUUAUAUGCUUUUUAUUACAGAAACACUUAAAACAUACUACUGUAGCCUGUUAAGGAUAAGAAAAAGUAAACCUCAUCCCAAGUGCUUGAAGCCAGUGGGUCAUAUGUUGUGAUGCUUCUCUCAGUAACAGCAGCAUUGCUCUUGGUAUCCAUCAAAGCAGAUGAUAGGGUACUUUCAAUUUUAUCAACUUCAUCAUCCAAACGUAUUGCUACCAUUACACAUAACAACUUCAAGGACGCAGAGCGAGCAGUUUUUGUGAUUGCUCGAAUAUCUUCAUUUCCAGUCCAAACUCGCGGCAUUGAAUCAGAAUCAUGGCUAAACAACAUAGAAAACUUGUCUUUCAUACGGAUCAGGACUCGUCCAGCUUCUUCCUUUGCUUUUGCUUCAACUACACCUCUUGCAUAAUUUUCCAAGCUUGUAAGCAUUUUAUCCUUAGUUUGUUCAUCCAUGUCAAAGCCAGUAAGUGCACUAGAGAGGCCAGCAACAGCUGAUUCUGUUUCACACCGCAGAAGUUUCCUUAUUGCCGACCAGGUCUCACUAUUAGCUCCAUCUAAAAGAGCUUCCACAGGUCCUGCUAAUGCCUCAUUCAGUUUUGCCUCAAACGAUGAUGUGAGUUCAGACAGUUUAGCAGCACGGACGGAGGCAACAUGUGCAUCUAUAUCACGUUGCAGCUUAUCCCUGACUUUAGAUGAAUCCCAGUUUGCUUGUUCAAUGACAGCAUCUGCACAUCCUUCAUCAAAUAGAGCCAUGCAAGACUGAGUGCAAGUACAAGAAGCUAAAGAAAACCCUUCCCCUGCAUUCAAAGCCUUAUCCAAUGCUUCCUUGAAUUUGUCAAGAGUUCCUGACCUUAUAUGUCCCAACAUGGAUUGAUAUGCUGGUUGGACAAGUUGUAGCAAUUUUUCUUCAAGCUGCUUUCGCUUUGCAGAUCUUACUCCUUCGUCAAAAUAAAUAGCUUCAUCAUCAUACUCUGACAGACAAGCAUUUAGGGUUGAACUAAGCUUCUUUCCAAAUCCAGAGACAGGGCUAGAUUGUACAGACUCUUCUAUUUGACGCCACUCCUCAUUUGCACUGAAAUUAGCACACUUUUCAUUCGCAAUUUCUUCACAGCGCACAGUAGCAACCAUGACCUUGUGGGCGGGAAGAUCAAGGUCCUUGUUCUCCUUGAUGACUUUCCAAAUUUGUUGAGCACUGAAAGAAAAUCCGGAAGCAGGUACUACACCCUGUCGAUCUCCAGCAAGCCCACCAGGUGCAAUGGAAUGGAAGAAUCUUUGCCUCAAUUUAGCCACUUGUUCUUUGAAUUGCUCUUCUUUUUCUUCAAAACUAGAAAGGGCAACAACUUCCACGUUAAAAAAUGCACUUAAUGGAGUUUCCUUAUGUGCUUCUGGCUUGGGAACAGUAUCCCAUAUCUUCUGAAUAUCUUCCCUUAGAAUAGGCUCCAGAUGUUCAAGUGGUGUCUUUGUUUUAUCACGUAUAACAAACAUUAAUGUUGUUUUGCGAGGGCUGAACAAAUGCAUCAUGACCUGAAAAACUGUUUUUAGAAGGGGUUUGUUGGCAGCCUGUUCCCUACCAAUGUCAUGGCACCACAUGUUUAUAAGUACAACGUCCGCAAUUGCCAAAGCAAAGAGGGCACUUUGUUUCUCGAAUGCAGUGUCAUCCUCACCCCUUUCCCUCCCAUCAGUUCCUUCCAAAUCCACUGCAAUUGUGAAAGGCUCAAUGCCAAUACAUCUUGCAAUCCAAAUUCCCUUGGUUGUUUGACUCCUUCCCCUGUAUGCAUCCAUCUCUCUGAAAUUGGUAUGAAAAAGAUGAUUCAAUAGGGUGCUCUUACCACUACUUUGAGGACCCAUGAUUGCAACAACGGCAUAGGAGAGACCGCAAUCGGCGAGCUUAGUUGUCCUAACGAAGUUGUCAAGACCCACCACAUUGAAAACACCGUUGCCAUCAAUCAGUUGGGUAGCGCAGCAUUCUUCCGCCAUCCUGACCCAAAACCUACCAGAGAUGACCACCCACUAUUCAAGUUACUAUCUUUUGAUGGUCUUUUUGAUUCUUAGGCACUAGAAAUGAACCAGAACAAGUAGGAGAAAAGCAGAGAAAGUAGGAGAAGAGAAGGGAGAAUGAGCGAUUGAGUAGAGAUGAAGCAACGAGAAUUAGCAUAGACUUUUGUCUGCCUCAAAAUAGAUACAAAAGGGUAGUAGAAGAAUCU
rnacentral:misc_RNA from 1 species